ACACAUGACAAGGUCGGAGGGGCGAGCAUGACGAUAGUCUUGCUAUUGUUGAGUGGCGGACCGGCGACGACGGGUGAGUAACACGUAUUACCAACCUUCCCGUUACUAAGGGAUAACCCGUUGAAAGACGGCCUAAUACCUUAUGUAGUCGUUCGAUGGCAUCAGAAGACGACGAAAGAUUUAUCGGUAACGGAUGGGGAUGCGCCCGAUUAGUUAGUUGGUGAGGUAACGGCUCACCAAGGCGACGAUCGGUAGGGGUUCUGAGAGGAAGGUCCCCCACAUUGGAACUGAGACACGGUCCAAACUCCUACGGGAGGCAGCAGUGAGGAAUAUUGGUCAAUGGACGAGAGUCUGAACCAGCCAAGUAGCGUGCAGGAAGACGGCCCUAUGGGUUGUAAACUGCUUUUAUACGGGGAUAAAAGAUAUCACGUGUGGUAUAUUGCAGGUACCGUAUGAAUAAGGACCGGCUAAUUCCGUGCC
rnacentral:rRNA from 1 species